rnacentral:lncRNA from 1 species
GAAGCCAAAAACCAAAAUUAGCCAGGUGUGGUGGCACGUGCCUGUAGUCCCAGCUACUUGGGAGGCUGAGGUGUGAGGAUCACUUGAACUCAGGAGGCAGAGGUUGCAGUGACCCAAGAUGGUGCCGCUGCACUCCAGCCUGGGUGACAGAGUGAGACCCUGUUUCCACAAAAAGAAAAAAAAAAUAGCCGUGCCUGUACUUCAGUACUUACAAAUUUAACUUUAGUAUAGAUGUACAGUAAUUUAUUCAAUCAUUUCCUUACUCAUAGACAAUUAGGAUGUUGCAACUUUUGCCACUACAAACAAUUCUGCGAUGUGGAUUAUCGUACUUAUUCCCAUUUAUUGGUGCUUUCAUUUCUAUAAGAAUGGAUUUUUAAAGAUAGAAUUCCUUGGGAAUAGUUAUGUCAAAGCCAAAUAUAAUAUAGAGACAAAUCUCUAAAAACAUUUUAUUUGGUAAGCAAGAGCUGCAAUUCAUGGCAUACACACAGACCGGGCUGAUCAUUGGUAUGAUCAGGAGAAUAAAGGGAAGGUUGCGGCCAGGUGUUAGCCACCACCCCGACAUUAUUUGAAACUUUUAUUUUAUCAUGAGAGAGUUCCAGGAGUCAACUGAAGAGAGAUUUUUGGUAUGAAAAUUACAUAUGCAAAAAGACUGAUUCCAGUACAUGAAAUUAAAUUCAACAUUUACAUUAAAUGCCUUCAAAUAUGGUAAAAUGGUUUCUUUUGGCAGUUUACCUCAUUAUGUUUUGAAUGAUUUGUCUAUCAUAUGAAAUAACUUUUAUAAAUAUAGUAACUCAGGCCUGGGCACAGCGGCUCAAGUGGGAGGACUGCUUAAGCAACCGAGUUUGAGACCAGCGUGGACAACAUGGGGAGACCCCUUCUCUCCCAAAAAAUAGCUGAGCAUGGCAGCGCACUGUUAAAGGAAACAGAGUUUCUUUGGUGGGUGAUUAAAAUGUUCUGGAGUUAGAUAGUAGUGAUGGUUGCACAACCUUGUGAAUAUAUUAAGGUUUCCGCUCUAUCUACCAUUCAAUUGUACUCUCUAAAACGAUUAAUUCUAUAGUAUAUCAAUUAUAUCUCUAAAUAAUAAAAACAAAAAGAAAUGGCUGGGUGCGGUGGCUCAUGCCUGUAAUCGCAGCACUUUGGGAGGCUGAGGCGGGCGGAUCACAAGGUCAGGAGUUUGAGACCAACCUGACCAACAUGGCAAAACCCAGUCUCUACUAAAAAUACAAAAAUUAGCUGGGUGUGGUGGCACACGCCUGUAAUCCCAGGUACUCGGGAAGCUGAGACAGGAGAAUCACUUGAACCCGGGAGGCAGAGGUUGCAGUGAGCCACUGCACUCCAGUCUGGGUGGCAGAGCGAGACUCCGUCUCAAAAAGAAAAAAAUUAAAAAACAAAAAGAAACCUGGUUCUAUAUUUUGUUUAAAUUUAUUUUUUUAACCAUCAUGUAAUAUGUCCAGGUAAUUUGUUUAAAUUUUGACAUCAAAUGCAAUUGUGAGAAUUUUUAUGAUUCAGAAAAAUCUAAGCAAGCUUUAUAAAAAC